rnacentral:rRNA from 1 species
GACGAACGCUGGCGGCGUGCUUAACACAUGCAAGUCGAACGGAAAGGCCCUGCUUUUGUGGGGUGCUCGAGUGGCGAACGGGUGAGUAACACGUGAGUAACCUGCCCUUUACUUUGGGAUAACUGCAGGAAACGGGGGCUAAUACCGGAUAUGAGCUCCUGCUGCAUGGUGGGGGUUGGAAAGUUUCGGCGGUUGGGGAUGUACUCGCGGCUGAUCAGCUUGUUGGUGGGGUAGUGGCUUACCAAGGCUUUGACGGGUAGCCGGCCUGAGAGGGUGACCGGCCACAUUGGGAAUGAGACACGGCCCAGACGCAUACGGGAGGCAGGAGUGGGGAAUAUUGCACAAUGGGCGGAAGCCUGAUGCAGCAACGCCGGGUGCGGGAUGACGGCCUUCGGGUUGUAAACCGCUUUCGCCUGUGACGAAGCGUGAGUGACGGUAAUGGGUAAAGAAGCACCGGCUAACUACGUG